rnacentral:rRNA from 1 species
AACGAACGCUGGCGGCAGGCCUAACACAUGCAAGUCGAACGCUCCAGCAAUGGAGAGUGGCAGACGGGUGAGUAACACGUGGGAACCUUCCCUUUGGUUCGGAAUAGCCCAGGGAAACUUGGGGUAAUACCGGAUAAGCCCUUACGGGGAAAGAUUUAUCGCCGAAGGAUGGGCCCGCGUCGGAUUAGCUAGUUGGUGGGGUAACGGCCUACCAAGGCGACGAUCCGUAGCUGGUCUGAGAGGAUGAUCAGCCACACUGGGACUGAGACACGGCCCAGACUCCUACGGGAGGCAGCAGUGGGGAAUAUUGGACAAUGGGCGCAAGCCUGAUCCAGCCAUGCCGCGUGAGUGACGAAGGUCUUCGGAUUGUAAAACUCUUUUGGCGGGGACGAUAAUGACGGUACCCGCAGAAUAAGCCCCGGCUAACUUCGUGCCAGCCGCCGCCGUAACAC